GACGAUCGCUGGCGGCGUGCUUAACACAUGCAAGUCGAACGGAAAGGCCCUGCUUGCAGGGUACUCGAGUGGCGAACGGGUGAGUAACACGUGGGUGAUCUGCCCUGCACUUCGGGAUAAGCCUGGGAAACUGGGUCUAAUACCGGAUAGGAGCCAUUUUUAGUGUGAUGGUUGGAAAGUUUUUUCGGUGUAGGAUGAGCUCGCGGCCUAUCAGCUUGUUGGUGGGGUAAUGGCCUACCAAGGCGGCGACGGGUAGCCGGCCUGAGAGGGUGGACGGCCACAUUGGGACUGAGAUACGGCCCAGACUCCUACGGGAGGCAGCAGUGGGGAAUAUUGCACAAUGGGCGCAAGCCUGAUGCAGCGACGCCGCGUGGGGGAUGACGGCCUUCGGGUUGUAAACUCCUUUCGCUAGGGACGAAGCUUUUUGUGACGGUACCUAGAUAAGAAGCACCGGCUAACUACGUG
rnacentral:rRNA from 1 species